rnacentral:rRNA from 1 species
AGAAAGUAAGCAAGGGCAGACGGUGGAUGCCUUGGCUCUCGGAGGCGAUGAAGGACGUGAUAAGCUGCGAAAAGCUCGGGGGAGGCGCAAAUAGCCCUUGAUCCCGGGAUAUCCGAAUGGGGCAACCCGGCAGGCUGAAGGCCUGCCAUCCCGUAAGGGAGGCGAACGUGGGGAACUGAAACAUCUAAGUACCCAUAGGAGGAGAAAAUAAACAAUGAUUCCGUAAGUAGUGGCGAGCGAACACGGAAGAGCCCAAACCCGUGCCGUCUAGGCGACACGGGGGUUGUAGGACCACGACGUGGCAAGAUAGAGUCAAGUGGAACGCCUUGGAAAAGGCGACCGUAGAGGGUGAUAGUCCCGUACACGACUGACGAUUGAAGCCUAGUGGCAUCCUGAGUAGCGCGGGGCACGAGAAAUCUUGCGUGAAACUGCGGGGCCCAUCCCGUAAGGCUAAAUACUCCCGAGAGACCGAUAGCGAACCAGUACCGUGAGGGAAAGGUGAAAAGAACCCCGAGCAGGGGAGUGAAAUAGACCCUGAACCCGUCUGCCUACAAGCGGUCGGAGCAUCGUCAAGAUGUGACGGCGUGCCUUUUGCAUAAUGAACCUACGAGUUACCUUCCCCGGCAAGGUUAAGUACCUAAGGUACGGAGCCGAAGCGAAAGCGAGUCUGAAUAGGGCGGCCAGUCGGGGGGGGUAGACGCGAAACCGAGUGAUCUACCCUUGGCCAGGUUGAAGGUUGGGUAACACCAACUGGAGGACCGGAUGGGUAAGCGUUGAAAAGCUUUCCAAUGAGCUGAGGGUAGGGGUGAAAGGCUAAUCAAACUCGGAGAUAGCUCGUACUCCCCGAAAUGCAUUUAGGUGCAGCCUCUUUAUAGUAUAUCGUGAGGUAGAGCGACUGAUUGGAUGCGAGGGCUUCACCGCCUAUCAAGUCCAGAUAAACUCCGAAUGCGCGAUAUAUAUUUAAAGGGAGUGAGGGCGCGGGUGCUAAGGUCCGUGUCCGAGAGGAGAAGAAUCCAGACCACCGGCUAAGGCCCCCAAAUGAUCGUUGAGUUGAACUAACGAGGUCGGAUCGCAGAGACAGCUAGGAUGUUGGCUUGGAAGCAGCCAUUCAUUUAAAGAGUGCGUAACAGCUCACUAGUCGAGCGAUCUGGCGUGGAUAAUAAUCGGGCAUAAACGAUCUGCCGAAGCCGUGGAUGUCGUAAGACAUGGUAGGGGAGCAUUCCAUGGGCGUCGAAGAUGAGGGAAGACCCUUGUUGGAGCGCAUGGAAAAGCAAAUGUAGGUAUGAGUAACGAUAAGGGGGGCGAGAAACCCCCCCGCCGAAAGACCAAGGUUUCCUGAUCAACGCUAAUCGGAUCAGGGUGAGUCGGGACCUAAGGCAAAGCCGAACGGCGACGCCGAUGGAAGAAUGGGUUAAUAUUCCCAUACUGCCUCAUGGAGUGACGUGGAGACGGAGAAGUGACAGUCCUGCCGGCUGACGGAAUAGCCGGUUGAAGGGUGUAGAUAUUGAUUCCCGUAGGCAAAUCCGCGGGGAGAGUCGAACCUGAGAGUAUACGGAGCGCUUGCGCAACGUAAUAUGGACGUAACCAUGCUCCCGAGAAAAUCCGCUAAACUUAUCCAUGCGGCACCCGUACCGUAAACGGACACACGUGGUCGGGUUGAGAAUACUGAGGCGCUCGAGUGACUCACGGUUAAGGAACUAGGCAAAUUGACCCUGUAACUUCGGGAUAAAGGGUCCUCGUCGUAAGGCGAGGCGCAGAGAAUAGGUCCAGGCAACUGUUUAACAAAAACACAUGGCUGUGCUAAAUGGAAACAUGACGUAUACAGCCUGACACCUGCCCGGUGCUGGAAGGUUAAGAGGAGAUGUCAUCGCAAGAGAAGCGUUGAAUUGAAGCCCCAGUAAACGGCGGCCGUAACUAUAACGGUCCUAAGGUAGCGAAAUUCCUUGUCGGGUAAGUUCCGACCUGCACGAAUGGUGUAAUGAUCUGGACACUGUCUCAACCGUGAGCUCGGUGAAAUUGUAGUAUCGGUGAAGAUGCCGAUUACCCGCGAUGGGACNAGGGUCCUCGUCGUAAGGCGAGGCGCAGAGAAUAGGUCCAGGCAACUGUUUAACAAAAACACAUGGCUGUGCUAAAUGGAAACAUGACGUAUACAGCCUGACACCUGCCCGGUGCUGGAAGGUUAAGAGGAGAUGUCAUCGCAAGAGAAGCGUUGAAUUGAAGCCCCAGUAAACGGCGGCCGUAACUAUAACGGUCCUAAGGUAGCGAAAUUCCUUGUCGGGUAAGUUCCGACCUGCACGAAUGGUGUAAUGAUCUGGACACUGUCUCAACCGUGAGCUCGGUGAAAUUGUAGUAUCGGUGAAGAUGCCGAUUACCCGCGAUGGGACGAAAAGACCCCGUGAACCUUUACUAUAGCUUUACAUUGAAUUUGGGCAGACGAUGUGUAGGAUAGGCCGGAGGCUUUGAAGGGGGUACGCCAGUAUCCUUGGAGCCGCCGUUGAAAUACGGCCCUUCGGUUGUUUGAGUUCUAACUCCUAGGCAGGAGGACACUGUAUGGUGGGUAGUUUGACUGGGGUGGUCGCCUCCAAAAGCGUAACGGAGGCUUCUAAAGGUGCCCUCAGACCGAUUGGUAACCGGUCGCAGAGUGUAAUGGCAUAAGGGCGCUUGACUGGGAGAGAUACAACUCGAUCAGGUAGGAAACUAGAGCAUAGUGAUCCGGUGGUUCCGCAUGGAAGGGCCAUCGCUCAAAGGAUAAAAGGUACUCCGGGGAUAACAGGCUGAUCAUUCCCAAGAGCUCAUAUCGACGGAAUGGUUUGGCACCUCGAUGUCGGCUCGUCACAUCCUGGGGCUGGAGAAGGUCCCAAGGGUUGGGCUGUUCGCCCAUUAAAGUGGCACGCGAGCUGGGUUCAGAACGUCGUGAGACAGUUCGGUCUCUAUCUAUCGUGGGCGCAGGAGAUUUGAGGGGCUCUGACACUAGUACGAGAGGACCGUGUUGGACGUACCACUGGUUUACCGGUUGUCCCGCCAGGGGCACCGCCGGGUAUCUAAGUACGGAUCGGAUAAGUGCUGAAAGCAUCUAAGUACGAAGCCGGCCUCAAGAUUAGAUCUCCCUCAAGGGUGGUUAUAGACGAUGACCUUGAUAGGCCACAGGUGUAAGGGCGGCGACGUCCGAGCCGAGUGGUACUAAUAGCCCGGGACUUUCCUCA